rnacentral:rRNA from 1 species
GAGUUUGANCCUGGNUCAGAAUCAACGCUGGCGGCGUGCCUAAUACAUGCAAGUCGAACGCGAAAACCCCGCAAGGGGUUAGUAGAGUGGCAAACGGGUGAGUAACGCGUGGGCGACCUACCUCAGAGUGGGGGAUAACCUUCCGAAAGGAGGGCUAAUACCGCAUGACAUUCCGUGUUUGGAUACACGGACAUCAAAGCCGGGGAUCGCAAGACCCGGCGCUUGGAGAGGGGCCCGCGUCCGAUUAGCUAGUUGGUGAGGUAACGGCUCACCAAGGCUUCGAUCGGUAUCCGGCCUGAGAGGGCGGACGGACACACUGGAACUGAGACACGGUCCAGACUCCUACGGGAGGCAGCAGUAGGGAAUUGUUCGCAAUGGGCGCAAGCCUGACGACGCAACGCCGCGUGGAGGAUGAAGACUUUCGGGUCGUAAACUCCUUUCGACCGAGAUGAAUACUCUCUUACCUAAUACGUUUGAGAGCUGACAGUAUCGAGGGAAGAAGCCCCGGCUAACUCCGUGCCAGCAGCCGCGGUAAUACNNNNNNNNCAAGCGUUGUUCGGAAUUACUGGGCGUAAAGGGUUCGUAGGUGGCUUUCUAAGUCAGACGUGAAAUCCCUCAGCUUAACUGGGGAACUGCGUCUGAAACUGGCGAGCUUGAGUGCAGGAGAGGAACGCGGANUUCCAGGUGUAGCGNUGAAAUGCGUAGAUAUCUGGAGGAACACCGGGUGGCGAAGGCGGCGUUCUGGACUGUAACUGACACUGAGGAACGAAAGCCAGGGNAGCAAACGGNAUNANAUACCCCGGUAGUCCUGNCCCUAAACGAUGAAUGCUUGGNGNGGCGGGNAUCGAUCCCUGCCGUGCCGAAGUUAACGCGUUAAGCAU